rnacentral:rRNA from 1 species
UACGUAGGGUGCGAGCGUUGUCCGGAAUUAUUGGGCGUAAAGAGCUUGUAGGCGGUUUGUCGCGUCUGCUGUGAAAAUCCGGGGCUCAACCCCGAACUUGCAGUGGGUACGGGCAGACUAGAGUGUGGUAGGGGAGACUGGAAUUCCUGGUGUAGCGGUGAAAUGCGCAGAUAUCAGGAGGAACACCGAUGGCGAAGGCAGGUCUCUGGGCCACUACUGACGCUGAGAAGCGAAAGCAUGGGGAGCGAACAGG